ensembl:lncRNA
UUCAUCUAAGUAUUAUUUUAUAAUAGUGAAAAAUAUCCAUAUAGUGGCCAUUCCAUUGACUACUAAGCAGCCAAUUAAAAUUAAAGUUUUAUAUUAAACGAUGGGAGGAAAUGCUACAACACAACAUUAGGUGAAAAAAGGGACACAAAAUCUACUUAAAUUAUGAUUACAAGUUUGUAAAAAGUAUGCACAGGAAAAAAACUAGAAGUAAAUACAACAAAUGUUAACUGGCAAUUUUUUCUUCUUCUUUUCUUGAUGCCAAAUCUUAGAUAAUGCAGUUAUGGCCAUAAUUUUUAAAAGGUAAGUAAAAACAAUACUAUCAUUGACUCCAAAUGAAAUGGACUUUAUAUUUCCCAGAUUUAUCAUCUUAAAAAUACUCAAAUACUUUCCUUUUGUAAUAAAAUUUCAUAAGUAUUACAGCACUGUCUUCAGAAUUGCAUGUAAGAUUACCAAUUACAAGUUAGUUGGCCAAAUAGGUACUCAGUUUCCCUAUUACAAAAUUGUAAGCUGAUGGGGGGGUGUGCAAUUUAAUUAUUUUUUGAGACAGGGUUUCACUCUGUCGCCCAGGCUGGAGUGCAGUGUAAAUUCAUUUAAACAUGUUCUUAGUGUAGGGUCUGCUUUAAGGUCUAGUCAUAUGUUCUUAUUUUGAUAUUUCUGUUUAGUAGAGCUAUAAAAUGAAAAGCAUGUGUUCGUUUAAAAUCAAUUUCUAGUUUCUACCCACAAAUUCAAGCUUGCACACGAGCUAAACCAGCAGGGGGCGAAAUACAAUAGGCAUAAAUUUGACAAGCCAUAUAGAUUUUUCUUACUUUAGUGACUGAGCAAUAACACAAAAUCCAGCAUCACCACAAAGCAAUUGAUACUCCCAUUUAAAGGGAUGCAGUCUCCGUACAUCUUACAGCGAUUGAGUAGUAAAGAGACAAAUGCGGGUCUAUUGGAGCGCUCCGAGUUAAUUUGUCUAGAAGGUUGCAGAGGCGGGAUAAAUCGUGAUGAACUGCUAUUGUCCUUAUCUUUCUCCUGAUUUGUAUAAUUCCUCCACCCAAAGGGGUGGACACUUCUCUGUGCCUGAGGGGGUGUUUUCCAUUCUUGUUUCUUUGCGUAACUGCUGAGCUUUGAUGUUUCGGAACUAUUUUAAAUUAUUCAAAUUACGAUGCAGACGUUUGGCAAACAUGGGCAGAAUGAGGAACCGGCGGGGCUCAUGAUUUGUAGGACCCCGGGCUCAUCAUCCGAGACAGUAAUAAUAAUCCUGUAGCCUGUAGUCUGAUGGUUACACUGGCCGGUGUUCUAACAGAUAUUCAUGGUAAAGGAGGAAAGGUAAUAAAAACGCAAAUAAUCAACUGCUCAGGACUGAUGAUGGAAACAAAAUCUGUUACGACCUCUGUUCCAGAAAUGCGUUUGAAUGCAGAAGUUUAUGGUGAUCUCUUUAGCUUCACUGGAUAUUCUCCGGAAGGAUCUAUGAAAAAUGACCACCGUCUCCAUCCGUUAGCCAAAUUCCGGACUACUAUUUUUUUCUUGGUCUCGAAGACGAUUUGUCAGUUUGGCGGCUGCGUUCCCACCUUAAAUUCUAUUUAUCGCAAUCUCUUGUUAUUUGUUAAAUACCCAGCUUCUUCCUCUGUGGGCAUAAAUUUAAAAAGAGGAAGAGACAGGCUGUGAGUGAAAAAGUCGUUUUUCGGGGCGAAAAGGGCAAGCUGACGAAUGCUCUCUAGCAGGUUUUUCGUAAAACGUGUUCUAUAUUUCCAAACCUUUACAAUUUUAUUUGGAGAGCAAGAGACUUAACCCGGUCCUGAGAUGAACGUUAACCAGCUGAGAGGAGCACCUGUCCCUCGCCGGGAGCGCAGCCUCAACGGGCGCCUGAGUGCGGGAAGACGUCUAUCCCCCUACAGCUCUAUGACUCGCAAAGAAGUAAAAGGAAAGGGCAGCUUGCCCGCACCCAAAAUGGCGGCCGGCGUUCU